rnacentral:lncRNA from 1 species
ACCAGCACGAGGCUUCUGGCGAGGGUGUCGCUGAGAACGAUGCAUGCAAGUGUGGAUCUGACUGCAAGUGUGAUCCUUGCACCUGUAAAUGAAUAAUGAAACCUCUCUAAGGUGGCAGAGAUAAUCAGAGUUUAAUUAUAUUAAGUAACCCUAAUGAUGUUCUAGGUUUUGUUUUACGGUGUAAUAAUGGCUGCAGGCUUUUGUCUUUUAGCCGAUAAUGGUUUUCGUUUGUGUUGACGUAUCUAGUCUCUAGAUGUCUCUGCCAUGUGUGAC